GCCACUUCCUCUUCACGUUUAAUUGCCUACAUACUCAAACAGAUGACACAUCUACCGACACCGAUGGCUGUGGGAAGAGGGAGACUUUCCAUUAAGGAUUCUUUGAGGAAAUGACUGGCUGAGUCGCAUUUCCGUGGUAAAGUGAAGAGCUUGCUGGGAAUGAUUAUUCUCGCUGACUAUAAUGAAACAAGCGGCGCUGGACGUGUAUUCAGUAUUACUUGCAGACAGAUGUGUUGAAGACCGUUCAUUAGAAGAAACUAUGAUACUCAUCCACUGAUGUUCAACUUCAUGAUCAAAACAAACGCACGUCGGACUGCGUCAACCCGACAAGGAGGCUGGAUCGGAUCCGGAGGGCUACGGCAGAGCAGCACAGUUCAGUCCAAGUGCCUCCCACCUCAGACACCAGUCCACAGAGCCAACCUGCAACCCCUCCCCCCUGGCAAAUGGAGCCGCCACCAUCCUAUGAGACUGUUAUGAAGACCACUACAGCUGUAAACCAAGCAUAACCACUUAUUUGUCUGUAGACACCGACAAAUUAUGAUGUGAUUAUGAAAAGUUGGUCUAAUUGGGGGUGCACAGAUAUCAAAAAUCUGUCAUUCACAGUUAAGCCAGUAAUUAUUUUAAAGGAUUAGUUCACCCCAAAAUGAAAACUCACCCUCAUGUCAUUCCAAACCCGUAAAACAUUUGUUCAUGUUCGGAGCACGAAUUCAUUUAUUUUUGAUGAAAUCUGAGAGCUCCAUAGACAGCAUCGCAACUGAAAUGUUCCCAGG
ensembl:lncRNA